CCAUAGCUGACUCGUCCUUAUUCCCUCUGCGUUCAUCUCGCCGUUUAGUUCAGGGCUUUGGAGGCGGCGAUCGAUUUGCUUCCACCUCAUUCCCAUUCCCAUGGAGGACGACGACGAUGUCGACGGCGUUCUUCCGGCCUACAUCGAGGAGGACGAAGAAGAGGCCAUGGACGCGAAGCAGCAGCGACGCCAGCAGAGCAUCAAGCCUCGGAAGAUGAUGCCCUGGGAGCUCGCCACGCCGGAGGAGAAGGCCAAGGAGGAAGUCAGACGGGCUCUGGAGGACGAGCUCUACGAGCACGGCCCCAAGACGGGAUCCGGCUCCUACACCCGCCUCUGGUUCCUCGACCUCACCGUCUUCGACCUCGACGAAGAGACACGGUAUGGUCCGAUGCGCUACAUGAUCGAAUUCGGUUAUCACGGAUAACAAUAGGUUGUGUGACUCGUUAAACGUACUCUCUCUGAAGAUAGUGUCCUCGGAUAUUGGCUACCCAGUAAAUGUGUAUGGGACCGUGAUAGUCAGAGACGAACUGGAUUAUAGGUGUAUCAGCAUCUUCCGACGCGACAGAAGCAAUUGCCAAGUAGUCCGGUCAGAGAAUGAAGAUCUGAUUCUGACUGGCCCAACUAGAGGAGUUGUUUAUCUUGGUGGAGCUUUCUUCGAGAUAAAUCUUAAGAUCAACGAAGAUGAAGAGCGCAAUGACAGACAAUUUAGCAAAGCAUUGAUUGACGUGAUGCUUAGCCUAGUAAUUGUCAGGAGAAUGACCCCGAGUAGGGUUACGCCGACACAUUAGCCGAGAUGAUGAAGACAAAGCCGGCACAGGCAUGUACAUCGGUAUCCUUAAGCUGAACUAAUAUCAGGCCGGCAUACCAAGGAUAUGCCGGCAUGCCUAUCUUGUCU